rnacentral:rRNA from 1 species
GACGAACGCUGGCGGCGUGCUUAACACAUGCAAGUCGAACGGAAAGGCCCUGCUUUUGUGGGGUGCUCGAGUGGCGAACGGGUGAGUAACACGUGAGUAACCUGCCCUUGACUUUGGGAUAACUUCAGGAAACUGGGGCUAAUACCGGAUAGGAGCUCCUGCUGCAUGGUGGGGGUUGGAAAGUUUCGGCGGUUGGGGAUGGACUCGCGGCUUAUCAGCUUGUUGGUGGGGUAGUGGCUUACCAAGGCUUUGACGGGUAGCCGGCCUGAGAGGGUGACCGGCCACAUUGGGACUGAGAUACGGCCCAGACUCCUAAGGGAGGCAGAAGUGGGGAAUAUUGCACAAUGGGCGGAAGCCUGAUGCAGCAACGCCGCGUGCGGGAUGACGGCCUUAGGGUUGUAAACCGCUUUCGCCUGUGACGAAGCGUGAGUGACGGUAAUGGGUAAAGAAGCACCGGCUAACUACGUG